rnacentral:rRNA from 1 species
GAUCAUGGCUCAGAUUGAACGCUGGCGGCAUGCCUUACACAUGCAAGUCGAACGGCAGCAUGGGUGCUUGCACCUGAUGGCGAGUGGCGAACGGGUGAGUAAUACAUCGGAACGUACCCGGAAGUGGGGGAUAACGUAGCGAAAGUUACGCUAAUACCGCAUAUUCUGUGAGCAGGAAUGAGGGGGAUCGCAAGACCUCUCGCUUUCGGAGCGGCCGAUGUCGGAUUAGCUAGUUGGCGGGGUAAAGGCCCACCAAGGCAACGAUCCGUAGCGGGUCUGAGAGGAUGAUCCGCCACACUGGGACUGAGACACGGCCCAGACUCCUACGGGAGGCAGCAGUGGGGAAUUUUGGACAAUGGGCGCAAGCCUGAUCCAGCCAUGCCGCGUGAGUGAAGAAGGCCUUCGGGUUGUAAAGCUCUUUCAGCCGGGAAGAAAUCGCAUCUCCUAAUACGGGGUGUGGAUGACGGUACCGGAAUAAGAAGCACCGGCUAACUACGUG